AGGCGCAUAGCUCAGCUGGUUAGAGCACGGCUCUUAUAAAGCCGGGGUCCUGGGUUCGAGUCCCAGUGCGCCUACCA
rnacentral:tRNA from 1 species